rnacentral:rRNA from 1 species
UACGUAGGGGGCUAGCGUUGUCCGGAAUCAUUGGGCGUAAAGCGCGCGUAGGCGGCCCGGUAAGUCCGUUGUGAAAGUCAAAGGCUCAACCUUUGAACGCCGAUGGAUACUGCCGGGCUAGAGUCCGGAAGAGGCGAGUGGAAUUCCUGGUGUAGCGGUGGAAUGCGCAGAUAUCAGGAGGAACACCGAUAGCGAAGGCAGCUCGCUGGGACGGUACUGACGCUGAGGUGCGAAAGCCAGGGGAGCAAACGGG